CCUACGGGCGGCAGCAGUGAGGAAUAUUGGUCAAUGGACGAGAGUCUGAACCAGCCAAGUAGCGUGAAGGAUGACUGCCCUAUGGGUUGUAAACUUCUUUUAUAUGGGAAUAAAAUGUUCCACGUGUGGGAUUUUGUAUGUACCAUAUGAAUAAGGAUCGGCUAACUCCGUGCCAGCAGCCGCGGUAAUACGGAGGAUCCGAGCGUUAUCCGGAUUUAUUGGGUUUAAAGGGAGCGUAGGUGGAUUGUUAAGGCAGUUGUGAAAGUUUGCGGCUCAACCGUAAAAUUGCAGUUGAAACUGGCAGUCUUGAGUACAGUAGAGGUGGGCGGAAUUCGUGGUGUAGCGGUGAAAUGCUUAGAUAUCCCGAAGAACUCCGAUUGCGAAGGCAGUUCACUGGACUGCAACUGACACUGAGGCUCGAAAGUGUGGGUAUCAAACAGGAUUAGAUACCCUUGUAGUC
rnacentral:rRNA from 1 species